GAUGAGCUGUGUUAAACAAAAAGAAAUCAAACACGAAGUAGUAUUAGCGACGAUUGUUUCGAGUUCAUUUCCAAAACCUCAAUUUAAUCUUUCAAUCAAGGCAUCUUUGCUAUCAAAUGAUCCUCGCUGAAAAGUUUGCAGGUAACAUAACAAAAAUCAACAUCUAAGAACCUGUAUUCUAGUAUAAGAACUAAGACCAAGAGGGCACUGAAGGAAGAGAUUUUGCUAGCAAAGGCUGAGAAUGGAGGUCAAGCAGUGGUCAAACGCUGUAAUCAUGCAUUAUCUUGAAACAAGAAAAACGAAACAUUCAGGUAAACUGAAAUAUAAAACAGACUAUUAAUCUAGUUCCUAACUGCAGAUAUUUAGAACAGACAAAGGUUCAAUAAAUUUUUGUUAGUGCA